AUGCACGCUGGCGGCGUGCCUAAUCCCUGCAAGUCGCGCGAACAGACGAGGAGCUUGCUCCUCUGACGUUAGCGGCGGACGGGUGAGUAACACGUGGAUAACCUACCUAUAAGACUGGGAUAACUUCGGGAAACCGGAGCUAAUACCGGAUAAUAUAUUGAACCGCAUGGUUCAAUAGUGAAAGACGGUUUUGCUGUCACUUAUAGCUGGAUCCGCGCCGCAUUAGCUAGUUGGUAAGGUAACGGCUUACCAAGGCGACGAUGCGUAGCCGACCUGAGAGGGUGAUCGGCCACACUGGAACUGAGACACGGUCCAGACUCCUACGGGAGGCAGCAGUAGGGAAUCUUCCGCAAUGGGCGAAAGCCUGACGGAGCAACGCCGCGUGAGUGAUGAAGGUCUUCGGAUCGUAAAACUCUGUUAUUAGGGAAGAACAAAUGUGUAAGUAACUAUGCACGUCUUGACGGUACCUAAUCAGAAAGCCACGGCUAACUACGUG
rnacentral:rRNA from 1 species